rnacentral:rRNA from 1 species
AGUUACUGGGAUAGCCCGAGGAAACUCGGAUUAAUACCGGAUAUUCUUAUUUAAUCACAUGAUUUUUUAAGGAAAGGUCAGCCGAACUAAGAUGGGCUCGCGUUCUAUCAGCUAGUUGGUAGGGUAACGGCCUACCAAGGCUACGACGGAUAGCUGGUCUGAGAGGACGAUCAGCCACACUGGGACUGAGACACGGCCCAGACUCCUACGGGAGGCUGCAGCAGGGAAUAUUGUGCAAUGAACGAAAGUUUGACACAGCGACACCGCGUGUGGGAUGACGGAUCUAGGUUUGUAAACCACUUUCAGGAGGGAAGAAAAUGACGGUACCUCCACAAGAAGCCCCGGCCAACUACGUGCCAGCAGCCGCGGUAAUACGUAGGGGGCGAGCGUUGUCCGGAUUUAUUGGGCGUAAAGAGCUCGUAGGCGGUUCAACAAGUCGGUCGUGAAAGUUCAGGGCUUAACCCUGAAAUGUCGAUCGAUACUGUUGUGACUAGGAUACGGUAGAGGUGAGUGGAAUUCCGAGUGUAGCGGUGAAAUGCGUAGAUAUUCGGAGGAACACCAAUUGCGAAGGCAGCUCACUGGGCCGCUAUCGACGCUGAGGAGCGAAAGCUAGGGGAGCAAACAGGAUUAGAUACCCUGGUAGUCCUAGCUGUAAACGAUGGAUACUAGAUGUAGGAAUUGGAUUGACGAUUUCUGUAUCGUAGCUAACGCGUUAAGUAUCCCGCCUGGGGAGUACGGUCGCAAGACUAAAACUCAAAGGAAUUGACGGGACCCCGCACAAGCGGCGGAGCAUGCGGCUUAAUUCGAUGAUACCCGUAGAACCUUACCUGGACUUGACAUAUAGGGAAAAGUUAUAGAAAUAUAAUGUGCAUUAGCGCCCUAUACAGGUGGUGCAUGGCUGUCGUCAGCUCGUGUCGUGAGAUGUU